GCAAAACGCGAAGAACCUUACCAAGGCUUGACAUAUACCGGAAAAGUUCAGAAAUGUUCUCCCCGCAAGGUCGGUAUACAGGUGGUGCAUGGUUGUCGUCAGCUCGUGUCGUGAGAUGUUGGGUUAAGUCCCGCAACGAGCGCAACCCUCGUUCUAUGUUGCCAGCACGUAAUGGUGGGAACUCAUAGGAGACUGCCGGGGUCAACUCGGAGGAAGGUGGGGAUGACGUCAAAUCAUCAUGCCCCUUAUGUCUUGGGCUUCACGCAUGCUACAAUGGCCGGUACAAAGGGCUGCAAUACCGCGAGGUGGAGCGAAUCCCAAAAAGUCGGUCUCAGUUCGGAUUGAGGUCUGCAACUCGACCUCAUGAAGUCGGAGUCGCUAGUAAUCGCAGAUCAGCAACGCUGCGGUGAAUACGUUCCCGGGUCUUGUACACACCG
rnacentral:rRNA from 1 species